AGCAGCCGCGGUAAUUCCAGCUCCAAUAGCGUAUAUUAAAGUUGUUGCAGUUAAAAAGCUCGUAGUUGAAUUUCGGGAUCAAGGAAUCGGUCAUGCCUUGGUAUGUACUGGUUUUAUUGGUUCUCACCUUCUAAAGAACCAUAAUGUCAUUUAUUUGAUGUUAUGGGGAAUUAGGACUGUUACCUUGAAAAAAUUAGAGUGUUUAAAGCAAGCUUACGCUUGAAUACAUUAGCAUGGAAUAAUGAAAUAGGACAUCAGAUUCUAUUUUGUUGGUUUCUAGGAUCGAUGUAAUGAUUAAUAGGGAUAGUUGGGGGCAUUAGUAUUCAAUUGUCAGAGGUGAAAUUCUUGGAUUUAUUGAAGACUAACUACUGCGAAAGCAUUUGCCAAGGAUGUUUUCAUUAAUCAAGAACGAAAGUUAGGGGAUCGAAGACGAUCAGAUACCGUCGUAGUCUUAACCAUAAACUAUGCCGACUAGGGAUCGGAUGAUGUUAAUUUUAUAAUGACUCAUUCGGCUACCG
rnacentral:rRNA from 1 species